ACAAGUCGAGCAGGGUCGAAAGACGGACUUAGUGAUCCGGUGGUUCCGCAUGGAAGGGCCAUCGCUCAACGGAUAAAAGCUACCCCGGGGAUAACAGGCUUAUCUCCCCCAAGAGUGCACAUCGACGGGGAGGUUUGGCACCUCGAUGUCGGCUCAUCGCAUCCUGGGGCUGUAGUCGGUCCCAAGGGUUGGGCUGUUCGCCCAUUAAAGCGGUACGCGAGCGGGGUUCAGAACGUCGUGAGAC
rnacentral:rRNA from 1 species